rnacentral:lncRNA from 1 species
CUCAAGCAAUCCUCCCACCUCAGCCUCCCAAGCACUGGGAUUACAGCACUAUAGGUUUUAAAAGGCAGUGUUCCCAUAAGAAAUAAUGGCAAAGAAAGGAACUCCCAGUCACAUUCAGCAAACCUGUUUUCCCAGCUACAUUCAUGCACUGGUUGAUGCAGAUACAUCAGACAGAUGGUAUACAUCUCUUCGUGACUCAAUCUGCUGAACGAUGCAACUGUCACAGUAUCCAACAGGCAGGGUCUUACUCUGUCACCUGGCCUGGAGUACAGUGGCA